rfam:Rhizophagus irregularis DAOM 181602 strain DAOM 197198 GLOINscaffold_588_Cont592 mitochondrial, whole genome shotgun sequence.
GGUUUUGUGAGGAAACUGGUAGCCCUGCUGAAUUUAAAAUUCAGUGCUUAGUGCAUGCGGGUUCGAAUCCCGCCAAAACCA